AGAGUUUGAUCAUGGCUCAGAACGAACGCUGGCGGCGUGCCUAACACAUGCAAGUCGAACGUGAUUGAGGAGCUUGCUCCUCAUGAAAGUGGCGCACGGGUGAGUAACGCGUAGAUAAUCUGCCUGGUGAUUUGGGAUAACACUUCGAAAGGGGUGCUAAUACCGGAUAAGCCCACGGAGUCCUUGGACUCUGCGGAAAAGGAGGGGACCUUCGGGCCUUCCGUCAUCAGAUGAGUCUGCGUACCAUUAGCUAGUUGGUAGGGUAAAGGCCUACCAAGGCGACGAUGGUUAGCUGGUCUGAGAGGAUGAUCAGCCACACUGGAACUGAGACACGGUCCAGACUCCUACGGGAGGCAGCAGUGGGGAAUUUUGCGCAAUGGGGGAAACCCUGACGCAGCAACGCCGCGUGAGUGAUGAAGGCCCUUGGGUCGUAAAGCUCUGACAGAGGGAAAGAAAUGUGGGUGGCUAAUAUCCAUUCCACUUGACGGUACCCUCAAAGGAAGCACCGGCUAACUCCGUGCCAGCAGCCGCGGUAAUACGGAGGGUGCGAGCGUUGUUCGGAUUUAUUGGGCGUAAAGCGCGUGUAGGCGGUUUUAUAAGUCUGAUGUGAAAGCCCCGGGCUCAACCUGGGAAGUGCAUUGGAUACUGUAAGACUUGAAUACGGGAGAGGGCAGUGGAAUUCCUGGUGUAGGAGUGAAAUCCGUAGAUAUCAGGAGGAACACCGGUGGCGAAGGCGGCUGCCUGGACCGAUAUUGACGCUGAGACGCGAAAGCGUGGGUAGCAAACAGGAUUAGAUACCCUGGUAGUCCACGCUGUAAACGAUGAGUACUAGGUGUUGCGGGUAUUGACCCCUGCAGUGCCGCAGCUAACGCAUUAAGUACUCCGCCUGGGAAGUACGGUCGCAAGACUAAAACUCAAAUGAAUUGACGG
rnacentral:rRNA from 1 species